GACGUAGGAGGCGAGCGUUGUCCGGAUUCAUUGGGCGUAAAGAGCGCGCAGGCGGCUUGGUAAGUCGGAUGUGAAAUCCCGAGGCUCAACCUCGGGUCUGCAUCCGAUACUGCCCGGCUAGAGGUAGGUAGGGGAGAUCGGAAUUCCUGGUGUAGCGGUGAAAUGCGUUGAUAUCAGGAGGAACACCCAUGGCGAAGGCAGCUCACUGGCCAUUAUCUGACGCUGAGGCGCGAAAGCGUGGGGAGCAAACAGG
rnacentral:rRNA from 1 species